ensembl:lncRNA
GAGGGAGAGAAUGGAGAGCAGCGCAGUGAUCAGGGAAAGCCCCCUGGCAGAAGACACGGGACAGGCUCUUGACCGGACCCUUUCCUUCUCCAGGCACUGAAGGAGGAGGUGGAAAUGGAGAUGAAAAACCUCCAGAAGGCACAACGGAGGGCCCAAAAGCGCACUGCGCCGUGAGUAGCAGCACAGCCCAGACCUGAGGCAGGGGGGAGCUGGGAUCCCAGCAGCCCCCAGCCAUCUGGGCCGUCGGCUGGAGCUCGGGAAGGCCGGGCCUGUGCAGGUCUGGCACCCAGGGGUGCCCGUCCCAGCUCCAGCAGAGGCCGGGCAGCUGCCUCGGGUCCCCGUGGCCACCAUGGGAUGGGGGGGGGGGGGGGGUAGGGGAGAGGUCCUGGUGCCGGCCGAGGCCUCUUCUCACACACCAAACUCCCCGCGUCUGUAGCAGGAGGAAGACGGCACGCAGGGAAGAGCACAUGAGUUCCCUGCUGCAGGAGACAGUGGCUGUGCGAUUGGUAAGAGAGAAAGCCCCAGCGGGGCCUUGGGGAGGGAAGGCUCACCUCAGGGCCACCGCAGGGGAUAUGGGCCUCCCUCUGGCUGUGGGGACGAAGGAGGGCUUCCGAGUGCCCAAACCUGCGCUCACCCCAACGCGUGGCCCUACUUUGCUUUGUCCUCUAGGAUGAGCAGACGGCAGCACAGAAGCAUCCACUUGUAACUUCCUGGCUGCGGUGAGUCGCCCUGGGGUCCAGAGACCAUCAGGCAGCUUUUGACUUUUGGGGGAUAAAAUGCCUCAGUAUUGCUUAGGGUCCUGGGUGGGAGAGCAGGUGGGGUGGGGAUCUUGGCAGCCCUGCGCAGAGCUACAACAGAUUCCGUUGCUCCCUGUAUGGCACAUGUCCACGGGCCACUUGCCGGGGCUGGUUGGAAAGUGCUGUGACAAACGUGCCCCCGGAUCUGACUGGACCUUCUUCUCUUCCACAGGAGGUUUCUGCUGUUCUUGGGCCUGCUGCAGCUUGUUUUCUUCACCCUAGUUGUGCUGCAGAAGGACAUCCUCCGCUGGGUCCUGCCUGCAGAGCUGGCACCUGCCCUUGGCAUCCGUCCACCUACGCCCGCUCUUUUCUGACCCCAGAACACACUGCGGCCCUUCAUCGGGACACCAUUGGGCCUGCACAAGCAUUAGGGAGUCUGUCACCAUUGUCACCCUGUCACCAAUCACGUCAAUAAAAUCCAUCCCAAUUCCCAAAUGUCUUAUUCGUGCAUGAGAGGCGUUAGAGCCCGUCGACAAAUCCCUGUUGAACCUUGGGAAGGAUAAAGUGGGAUUCUGGAGCUAAGAAACAGGACUCAGGGAAUCGGCAAGGCUGGAAAUGACCUCCAAGGGCUCCAACCAUCCACCUAUCACCAAUAUGUCCCAUGACUCCACGGCCCUAGGUACAAAAGCUAAAAGUUUCUUGAACACCCCCAGGGUUGGUGACUGCAUCACCCCCAGAAAUGCCUCCGAAAGCAAGCUUGGAGCCAAAAGCAAAGCAGGGUUCGUUCACCCCACCAUAACCGCUACAUGAGCUCUAGGAGAACUCUCCGUUUGCAUUUCUGCGUUUUCACCUACCGCAACUAUACCCAAGUUUCUACGCAAGAGCUAAAACCUUUACAUUCCCAGAAGUUGUUGUUUUCUUUUGUGAGCUUCUUUAUCAAACGUAGAUGCUUUUUUAAUGCAGCCCGGGAGAGAGUUGGCCUUCCAGGCUGCAAGCAUGCACUGCCGGCUCCCGUCCACCUUCUGGUCCACCAGGACCCCAAAGACCUUCUCCACACCAAAGCCCUGAGAAAGGUUUCCCUUCCAGACCAGUCAAAGCUGAUCACUCAGUCAUGGACUACUAGCAUCUCACCGGCUCUUCCUAUACACUUGAGAAGACAUAGCUCAGAGACAACUAGAACAAACCAACCCUCUAAGAGCAACAAAAACAAACAACUGGCACUUCUGACAGUGUCAGCAAAUUUCAGGUCACGAUUUGAAAGACAGAAGCUGAGGCUGACUGAAAAUCGUACCCUCGCCCACCACGACAGAGUCUCAGGUCAAGUACUCAGAGCAUGCUCACGCUCAUCUAGAAACCAACAUUUGACAUUUGAGCCUGCAUGUCAGUAUUGCCUUCCUGCAGUAAGCUUACUUAUUAUUGGCCAUGUGGCCAAUCCAAUGCACAAAUCCAAGUCAAGAAAUCUCAACUGACUGACUAAACAUCGACCUUAAAAUCAGAAAUUCCUGCUCUCCUAAGCAGUCUGCUGGAUUACUCC